GUUAGCUCAGCUGGUAGAGCAUUUGACUUUUAAUCAAAGGGUCACAAGUUCGAAUCUUGUA
rnacentral:tRNA from 1 species